UAGAGACCCAGUCCGGGUUUGAUUGCCUGGUUAGAGUCCCGGUGCAGGUUUGCGCAGGAUCCAGAUCGUCUGGGUUAGAGUCCCAGUCCAGGUGUUCGAGUCCCUGGAGAGGUAAGCGAGCGCUCAGCAUGGGAAAGAGGGGUUAGAGUCCUUUCCUUCUCGACGUGAAAAAUAUGGGACAAUUUGGCAGUAAAUGCCCGGGGGACGCCCCGUUGUCUCUGAUACUUACAGAUUAGAAACAGAUUUCUGAGACCGCUGGUCUAGUUAAAUUUAAGAUGAGGAAUCUGUGUUGGACCCAAUGGCCAUCAUUUACCUUUCAUUUGUCCCUGAUUAGAAACUGGUCGGAGGGUGAAACCUUUUCCACAGAUAGGAUGAACUCCUUAAGGCAUAUUUUGGUUGAUCUUAGGCCGGGACAAAUGGAUUAUUUGUUUGUGUGGUAUAAUUAUAAACCCAUGGAGGGAUGGAUAGCCUUUGAUGCUGUUUGUAUGGAGAGCUCUUGUAAAAAUCCCCAAAAGCAGGUUAGAGAUAGUGCAGGGACAAAGGAGGGACCUAUCUAGAAAGGGGAGACCCUAUGUCCUAGUGCACUCUUUCCCUGUUGUAGCUAAAAAGCAAGAUCAGAUGCAGAAUGGUGGGGGCCAGUGUGAGUGACUGUUACUGGAAGACGCCUAGAGUACCCUGUGAAGCAAAAGCUCGUGACCAGGACUACUCUAAUGCAAGCCCGGUAACUAGUGGAUCUUUAGGAGGUCCGACCCAUGGUGGGCUGACUUGGCCUGGCAUCGUCCGGUGAGAAAGCUACCUGGGUCUAGGAGUGUGUGUACCCAUUUUCCCUCCCCCUUUCCUUUCCGUGCGGGCUACUGACAGUCUGAUCAUCUCACUGGAGGCAGUUAGAGUAAGCGGCUCCGUCUCCCAGAGACUAGCCAACGCUCUUUGCUGAAGGGAGGUGUAGGAGGGUCGUGGCCAUCCUCAUUAGCCUCUCCUGUGUGAGUACCCUGUAGAGAAAAUUCUUAGUUUAUGAGCCACUAGUGCGGACAGGGCACCCUCCCUGUGCGUGUAAGUGAAAAAUGGGUGGGGGACAAUCUAAACAUUCCAUCUCACCACCUAAGGGUACCCCAGCAUUUUACAUGUACAUACAUUAUGGUUCAACGACCUGCAGGUAUUUAGAGAAUUGGAACAUUUACACGAAACAAUGCCCACUAGAAGGUACUUCAAUCUAGAUAAGAUCAUAUAUUUAAGAGGAGCGUUUAAUCACCA